GACAGAGGGUGCAAACGUUGCUCGGAAUCACUGGGCGUAAAGGGCGUGUAGGCGGGAGAGAAAGUCGGGCGUGAAAUCCCUAGGCUCAACCUAGGAACUGCACUCGAAACUUCUUUUCUUGAGUACCGGAGAGGAAAGCGGAAUACCUGGUGUAGAGGUGAAAUUCGUAGAUAUCAGGAGGAACACCAAUGGCGAAGGCAGCUCGCUGGAACGGUACUGACGCUGAGGCGCGAAAGCGUGGGGAGCAAACAGG
rnacentral:rRNA from 1 species